GCUGGAUGAGGUGGCGCACGCCUGUAAUCCCAGCAUCUCGGGAGGCUGAGGCAGGAGGAUCGCAGGUUCAAAGCCAGCCUCAGAAGAGUGAGGUGCUAAGCAACUCAGUGAGACCCCAUCUCUA
rnacentral:sRNA from 1 species